rnacentral:rRNA from 1 species
UGCAAGUCGAACGAUGAAGCCCAGCUUGCUGGGUGGAUUAGUGGCGAACGGGUGAGUAACACGUGAGCAACCUGCCCCUGACUCUGGGAUAAGCGCUGGAAACGGUGUCUAAUACUGGAUAUGUCCCGUCACCGCAUGGUGUGCGGGUGGAAAGAUUUUUCGGUUGGGGAUGGGCUCGCGGCCUAUCAGCUUGUUGGUGAGGUAAUGGCUCACCAAGGCGUCGACGGGUAGCCGGCCUGAGAGGGUGACCGGCCACACUGGGACUGAGACACGGCCCAGACUCCUACGGGAGGCAGCAGUGGGGAAUAUUGCACAAUGGGCGGAAGCCUGAUGCAGCAACGCCGCGUGAGGGAUGACGGCCUUCGGGUUGUAAACCUCUUUUAGCAGGGAAGAAGCGAGAGUGACGGUACCUGCAGAAAAAGCACCGGCUAACUACGUGCCAGCAGCCGCGGUAAUACGUAGGGUGCAAGCGUUAUCCGGAAUUAUUGGGCGUAAAGAGCUCGUAGGCGGUCUGUCGCGUCUGCUGUGAAAUUCCGAGGCUCAACCUCGGGCUUGCAGUGGGUACGGGCAGACUAGAGUGCGGUAGGGGAGAUUGGAAUUCCUGGUGUAGCGGUGGAAUGCGCAGAUAUCAGGAGGAACACCGAUGGCGAAGGCAGAUCUCUGGGCCGUAACUGACGCUGAGGAGCGAAAGGGUGGGGAGCAAACAGGCUUAGAUACCCUGGUAGUCCACCCCGUAAACGUUGGGAACUAGUUGUGGGGUCCUUUCCACGGAUUCCGUGACGCAGCUAACGCAUUAAGUUCCCCGCCUGGGGAGUACGGCCGCAAGGCUAAAACUCAAAGGAAUUGACGGGGACCC